UACGUAGGUGGCAAGCGUUGUCCGGAUUUACUGGGCGUAAAGAGCGCGCAGGCGGCUUUUUAAGUCGAAUGUGAAAGCCCCCGGCUCAACUGGGGAGGGUCAUUCGAUACUGAUCGACUUGAAGGCAGGAGAGGGAAGUGGAAUUCCGGGUGUAGUGGUGAAAUGCGUAGAUAUCCGGAGGAACACCAGUGGCGAAGGCGACUUCCUGGCCUGUUCUUGACGCUGAGGCGCGAAAGCUGGGGGAGCAAACGGG
rnacentral:rRNA from 1 species